AGGUUCCAUAAAAAAAAACAUCUAUUGGAAAGAGUUUAUGCUGCUGCUAUUUGUGUGGGUGGCAUUCCUUGCAGCGCAGAUUGUUAAGACAUAUGCCACAACUUGCUCGAUAGAAUUCUGGGUUCUAAAUGCUUUACAGGUGCCAAUUGCUCUUUCUGUCACACUUUAUGAAGCCUACAAUCUUUGCAAAGAAACGAGGACACUUGCCUCUAGGGGAAGCAAGAUAUGAGAUGGAAAAUGCAUCAGCUGCUUUUAUACUGUUUCUAUGGGCUGUUAGCUGGGAUAGUUGGAGGACUACUUGGAUUAGGAGGGAGGUUCAUCUUGGGACCAUUGCUUCUUGAAAUGGGAGUUUCUCCUUAAGUUUUGCUCUUUCUUUUGCCAGUUAAAGAUGCGGAAAUAUUUGAAUUCUAUAUAAUGAGAGAAUAGUAUUUUUAAGUUAAAACAUUACUUAACAAAAAAAAAAAAGGUUAAAA